rnacentral:lncRNA from 1 species
CUGCAAUUUCUGCAAGAUCGGCUUGACUUCUUCCUCUUCAUCAGCCAUCAUCUCCCGGCCACUCCACCCCCAACUUUAUAACCACAGAGACGCACGCCCUCUCUCACCGCGGAACCACAGCGACAUCUGGCGUUCUGGAGGCUUUUCUGCCCCAGAAGGGCUUUGCUUCAAACCGACUUAACCAUUUAUUUCCACAGAGAUGCUCUACAAUCACUUACAACAUCCAGAAGGAUAUAUAAGAAAGGAUGACUGUCUCUGCAGAGGGAAACACAGAAACUGGGGAACUGUGGGUGAGCGAAGAAAAUUUUCACUGCCUGCCCUUUUGAAUUUUCUUGCCAUCUAUAUGUAUCACCUAUUCAAAUAUAAACAUUUUUAAAUAAAAAAUUAUUUGCUUCUACAUAGUCUCUGGAAAGAGACACAAGACACUGGCAAGACUAUCGCUUACAAAGAGCAGAAGUGAGUGGCUGGAGCAAAAAUGAGUGACCAGGGAACUGGGGUAGACUUUUCACUCUAUGCCUUUUUUGUAACUUUAAAGUUUGUACCUUGUGAAUAUAUUAAACUUCUGAAUAAAUCUUUUAAAGUGUCAUGUAA